rnacentral:rRNA from 1 species
UGACCUCAAAUCAGGUAGGACUACCCGCUGAACUUAAGCAUAUCAAUAAGCGGAGGAAAAGAAACUAACAAGGAUUCCCCUAGUAACUGCGAGUGAAGCGGGAAAAGCUCAAAUUUUGAAUCUGGCGGUCUUUGCAGACCGUCCGAGUUGUAAUCUAGAGAAGCG